UACGUAGGUGGCGAGCGUUGUCCGGAUUUAUUGGGCGUAAAGCGCGCGCAGGUGGUGCGGUAAGACUGCCGUGAAAUCUCCCGGCUCAACUGGGAGGGGGCGGUGGAGACUGCCGGACUGGAGGGACUCAGAGGCCGGUGGAAUUCCCGGUGUAGUGGUGAAAUGCGUAGAGAUCGGGAGGAACACCAGUGGCGAAGGCGGCCGGCUGGGGGUGCCCUGACGCUGAGGCGCGAAAGCGUGGGGAGCGAACCGG
rnacentral:rRNA from 1 species